AUUGAACGCUGGCGGCAGGCCUAACACAUGCAAGUCGAGCGAGCGGCGGACGGGUGAGUAAUGUAUGGGGACUGCCCGAUAGAGGGGGAUAACUACUGGAAACGGUGGCUAAUACCGCAUACUAUCGGAUAACCCAUAUGGGAUUAGCUAGUUGGUGGGGUAAAGGUGCACCUAGGAACCGAUCUCUAGCUGGUCUGAGAGGAUGAUCAGCGAAACGGGAACUGAGACACGGCCCAGACUCCUACGGAGGCAGCAGUGGGGAAUAGUGGACAAGUGGAGAAAGCGUGAUGCAGCCAUGCCGCGUGUAUGAAUAAGGCCUUAGGGUUGUAAAGUACUUUCAGCGGGGAGGCGUUACCCGCAGAAGAAGCACCGGCUAACUCCGUGCCAGCAGCCGCGGUAAUUC
rnacentral:rRNA from 1 species